rnacentral:rRNA from 1 species
GACGAACGCUGGCGGCGUGCUUAACACAUGCAAGUCGAACGAAGUGGCGAACGGGUGAGUAAUACGUGAGUAACCUGCCCUCCUUUGUGGGAUAAGCCUUGGAAACGUGGUCUAAUACCGAAUAUAGGGGGAUGGGCUCGCGGCUUAUCUGCUUGGUGGUGGGGUGAUGGCCUACCAAGGCGGUGACGGGUAGCCGGCCUGAGAGGGUGACCGGGGACAUUGGGACGGAGAUACGGGCCAGAGUCCUACGGGAGGGGGCAGUGGGGGAAAAUGCGCGAUGGGCGAAUGCCUAAUGCAGCGGCGCCGCAUGGGGGAUGAAGGGUUUCAGGUUGUAAACCUCUGGCGCGAUCGAGCGGGUAGGUGGAGAAGAAGCGCCGGCUAACUACGUGCCAGCAGCCGCGGUAAUAC